rnacentral:rRNA from 1 species
UUGGAGGGCAAGUCUGGUGCCAGCAGCCGCGGUAAUUCCAGCUCCAAUAGCGUAUAUUAAAGUUGUUGCAGUUAAAAAGCUCGUAGUUGAAUUUCGGAAUCAAUUUGUUGGUCGUGCCUCGGUACGUACUGGUAUUAUUGGUUUCUACCUUCUGAAGAACCUUGAUGUCAUUAAUUUGGUGUCUUGGGGAAUCAGGACUGUUACUUUGAAAAAAUUAGAGUGUCUAAAGCAAGCAUACGCUUGAAUACAUUAGCAUGGAAUAAUGAAAUAGGACGUUUGAUUCUAUUUUGUUGGUUUCUAGGAUCGACGUAAUGAUUAAUAGGGAUAGUUGGGGGCAUUAGUAUUCAAUUGUCAGAGGUGAAAUUCUUGGAUUUAUUGAAGACUAACUACUGCGAAAGCAUUUGCCAAGGAUGUUUUCAUUAAUCAAGAACGAAAGUUAGGGGAUCGAAGACGAUCAGAUACCGUCGUAGUCUUAACCAUAAACUAUGCCGACUAGGGAUCGGACGAAGUUAAUUUUAUAAUGACGCGUUCGGCGCCUUACGGGAAAC